AUCCCUCUGCAGCCUCCUCUCACCGCCACUACUCUCUCUUCUCUCUCUCUCUCUCUCUCUCUCUCUCUCUCCCCUACCGAGAAGGCGAAAUCACUAAAGACCGAAGGAAAGAAAGAGGUCGGCGGAUCUACACCGUAACAAUUGUUUGCUCAGUAUCUUUUGAUGUUGCUGGUGGUGGUUGCAGAACACGGUGGCGGAUUGGACACAAGAAAGGUCAGGUGAGGCUCACGGUGGUGUUUUCACAGUGGAGAAGAAUGAGUGUUCUGUUUAUGGGUUGGUUGAAUAGGGGCUUGUGGACGCUACGGUGGCUCACAUGGGUGGCGACAGUAGCUCACGUGGGUGGUUGAGGACGUGAUGAGGCUGAGCAAGGCUGAGCUUCCCCUCAAGCGGUGUUGUCCGAUGGUAGUGGGUCUUGGUAUUUGGUGGUUGAAGUGUGAUGGUUGUGCUACAGUGUAUAUUAGAAUGGCCUGAAGCUGCUUCUCAAUUUGUUUGUUGUGAGGACAUAGGGUGGCUUGUUGGUCGUGCAUGGAGGAUCUGGUUUGAUGUGGGGCUUCCUACGGAGUUCCCUAAGGGAGAUAUAUGGCCCUGGUGAUUUGAUUUUUUCAUCACACAUGAUUUUUACGUUAGUAUUUGUUCUAACAUAGAAGAAAUAAGGCACAAUAAGGUGGAGACAGAGGGGUUGACUUCAUCAGGCAUACGAGAUUUUUUUUUUAGAUGUACCUCAAGCAAUUUGCUUGGUUACUUGCCAUUAUUCUGAGCCUCUUGAUUAUAGCCUCUCAUAGGCAUUACAUAGUCAACAUUGUUGUCACUUGGUAUACUAUAAAUUUGACAAGUUCUUUCUUUAUAAGAAAUUGCCAAGUUAACUUUAGCAUUUGCAUCUUCUUUUUAAACUUAUUUACGCAUUAGGUUCUGGUGGAAUUCAAACUUAUUCUCGUUAGUAGCAUCAAUAUUUAUUCUUUAUGCACAAUACGUCCACCAAGAUUAUCCAAAACUCGUAUCACUUGUCAACACUAGACCAAACUUUAAAAGCAUUUACUUUAAUUUUUGCUGGGAAUGCCUAAUCUCCAUUUGUGUGACUCUGUUUUCUCCAUUUUAGAAUUGUCGGAUCGUUCAAGUAGCUCUGCACCUCCACUUCUACUACCUUGAGAACCAAUAGAGAAUCUGGAGAUCAUGAACAAAAAAGAACUUACAGAUUCCUUAAUGGGAAAACUGUCUGACAAUAUAUCUCCCUUAUAUUUCUCUGUCUGACAACACAGAAAAACACUGAUGAGCAGUGUUUUGUCUUCGAAGGGAUGUUAAUGGGGUUCUAUGCGGCUCCAGCUAAUUAUAAAGAAAGUGAAGGUGUUCACCACCUCACAUGGAAAAGUAAUGGACCUGUUUUUCAUCUCAGAUACAAGGUUCUAUGUUCUUGUACAAUCUGUCAGAAAUCCACAUCUUGUGUUUUCUUUUUCUAGCAUUUCUUCUAUUUAAUCUAUUGCAAGUUUAUUGUUGUAGUUAAGUGGUAGUUGUUGGAUGCUAAAAAUUGAUUUCACAUCUCAUUUGAAAUUGUGCUAAUAUUUCCGUACAAACUGAUACUAUCUCAUUUAGAAAUUAUAUGAAAAAGAGACUUAUGCAGUCCAACUAGUUGGGUAAAAAUCAUAUUUUAUCGUAAAUGUUUAAAUGUUAAAAGUCGUUUAAACAAAUCUGUCAUUACGAUAUAAAAAUUGACUUGUUGGAAAUGAGGAGCUGACAAUUAAAUCAGGUUAGAAUAUAAAUAAACAAUCAUGAGGGGUAGCUCAGCUUAUCCGGCCUUGGGUUUGCUCCCUAAUGAUCAUCAGUUUGAGUCCCCUUAGAGCCACUGAAGGUUUACCUGGUCGUUAACUUAAGGGCUACAUGUGAUUAGUUGAUGUACGCACAAGCUGGCCCAGACACUCUCGUUUAUCAAAAAAAAAGAAAAGAAAAAAAGAAUAGAAAUAAAUAAAUAAAAGAAUGAUAUGUGGUGUUCUACAUACUUCCUAUUAUUAAUUUUAUUUAAUUAUCCAUUGUAUUUCCUUUUUGGUGAGAUGAGCCCGAGUUUAGUCUCACACACACCCUAAUAUCUGUACAAAGAGUUUGUUCUGACAUAUAAGGAAUACGACACAAUAAGAAAUAGUCAUUCUCAAUUGCUUCUUAUGCUUGUGCAUGACAAUUGUCUUUCUUGUUUCCCAAUUGCAGGUAUAGGUGGAGGCAGAGGGGCUUCACCAGGCAUACGAGAUUUUUUUUUUCCAAUGGCAUUAUUAAAAUAAGUUAUUGGUUCUAUUUA